rnacentral:rRNA from 1 species
CCCAAAAAAGAGGGAGGAAUGGGGUUUCGAGAUAUACACUGCUUUACCCUUGCUUUGUUGGCCAAACAAGCUUGGCGACUGAUUGAUAACCCUGACUCUCUUUGCGCAAGGAUUCUCAGGGUAAAAUACUAUCCGGAAGGGGACUUACUUAAUGCAACACUAAAGAAGAAAGCCUCAUAUACCUGCCAAAGUAUCAUGGAGGGUGUGGAGACCUUCAAGUUGGGAUAUAUUUGGAGGAUAGGAGAUGGACACAAAAUAAAGAUUUGGUCAGAUGCAUGGAUACCACAAUCCAACAACAGAAGACCGACUACACCUCGCGGAGCUAACGUUUUAUCCAUGGUGGCUGAUCUUAUAGACCCAACAACAGGACAAUGA